UAUUCACAGAGCACCCACUAGGUGCCAGUAAAUGUAUGAAAAGUCCUGUGGAAUAAGACUGAAGUUGUCCUUGCCUUCAAGCAACUUGCAAUUGCCUAAGAACACAGUUUAAAACCACAAAACUAAGCCUUGGAAAUCACACGCUGUCAUUUCUGCGAUCGGUCAUAACCAGUCCUGAUUCCAUGUUAGAGGAGACUACAUAAGGACACAGGUACCAGAAGGAGACUAACCAGCAUGGGCUACAUCAAAAAGGCUGCCAUCUACUUUCUGCUGGGUAGGGGCACCAGAGAGACUUGUCAGAAACUAGAAGGAAGGUAGAGUGCGAAAUCUGAGUGUUAAUUCCCUGGCUUCAUCAAAGGACACUGGUCUUCACAAGGAAACAGACUACAUGAUUCUCCUUUUGGGCUUCAGUAAAAACCCCCUCCUUUCAUCCCUUAGUCUAGGGAUGGUAAGAGGUCAGCAGCUAAGAAUUCUAGGUUCUUUGUGGUUUUCCCGUAUACAUGUCUUUGAUGAUAGCUCCUUUGGAAAUAAAUUCUCCUAGACUUUU
rnacentral:lncRNA from 1 species